AUCGGAGAGCAGCAGACAUGGCCCUGCGCUACCCCAUGGCGGUGGGCCUCAACAAGGGCCACAAGGUGACGAAGAACGUCAGCAAGCCGAGACACAGCCGGCGCCGCGGGCGCCUCACCAAGCACACCAAGUUCGUGCGGGACAUGAUCCGGGAGGUGUGCGGCUUCGCGCCCUACGAGCGGCGCGCCAUGGAGUUGCUCAAGGUGUCCAAGGACAAGCGCGCACUUAAGUUCAUCAAGAAGAGGGUGGGCAUGCACAUCCGUGCCAAGAGAAAGCGGGAGGAGCUGAGCGAAGUGCUGGCAGCCAUGAGGAAGGCGACCAAGAAGGAUUGAUGAACCCUCCCCCAAUAAAAGAUCGUUC